rnacentral:rRNA from 1 species
AUACGGAGGAUGCAAGCGUUAUCCGGAUUUAUUGGGUUUAAAGGGUGCGUAGGCGGAUGAUUAAGCGUGAGGUGAACUGCCACUGCUCAACAGUGGAACUGCCUCGCGAACUGGUUGUCUUGAAUGCUCCUGCCGUGGGAGGAAUGUGGGGUGUAGCGGGGAAAUGCAUAGAGAUCACACAGAACACCGAUUGCGAAGGCAUCUCACGAAGGGGUGAUUGACGCUGAGGCACGAAAGCGUGGGGAUCAAACAGGAUUAGAUACCCUGGUAGUCCACGCAGUAAACGAUGAUAACUAACCGCUGGGUCGUAGUGAUUCAGUGGCCAAGCGAAAGCGAUAAGUUAUCCACCUGGGGAGUACGACCGCAAGGUUGAAACUCAAAGGAAUUGACGGGG